UUUUAAAAUCAUUAAUAACAUUAUUUAAACGUGUGAAAUUGUUUUCUUAUAGCCAAUAAAUAUAUUUCGUUAUUUAUUAUAUUUCAUGAUUCUUGUCUAAUCUCCAAUUAAUGAGCAGUCUCCAUCGAUCGCUAUUCGAUCCAGGGGAUUAAGUUUAGAAGAGAAGAAUGUUCAAACAUGAAUCUACGUGCGAACUUUCAAGAAUUUCAACUGAUUAUUUUAAAGUCAAUAAUUAUAUAGGAUAUAUAAAGGAGUCGAAAGACAUUACAAUGCCGCCUUUGCUUCCUUCCAAGGAACUUUGACGUGGCCAACUGUUUUGUGUUUUUGGGGAGGCCUAAUAAAACGCAGCGCCGACAAUGCCGUCGUAAUAGCGAGCGUGCCUACGGCGCUUAUUAAGGGUCUCGAAUUUUUGGACUGACCGUCGUCGUUUCGGUCUGACAAGGAAAUAACUUUCAGCGAAGAUACACCGGACGGCCCGGCGAACAUUGUAUUCGUUUAUUGGAAAUCGAUAAAAAGUUGCAUGAAUGAAUGAAUGGACGGACGGAUGGAUGGAUAUCGUAAAGCUUUGAAUUGUUGAAAUUUAAAAAUAUUAAUACCGCGCUCGAGUAUUUUACAUAUUAAAAUCUUUUACUUGGUGAACGGAGAAUACUGUUACAUUCUCGUCGGCCAUUUUGCGCGAACCUACGUCGACGGCGUUCUACUACAGCGCCGUCGAUCCGCAAAUCGUACAAUUCACUUUUUUAUCAUUUUGGAUUCUUCAGUACAUUUUAUUUUCGUGCAAUUCUUUUUUUAUUUCUUUU